rnacentral:rRNA from 1 species
UACAGAGGUCUCAAGCGUUGUUCGGAUUCAUUGGGCGUAAAGGGUGCGUAGGCGGCGCCGUAAGUCGGGUGUGAAAUUUCGGAGCUUAACUCCGAAACUGCAUUCGAUACUGCGGUGCUUGAGGACUGGAGAGGAGACUGGAAUUCAUGGUGUAGCAGUGAAAUGCGUAGAGAUCAUGAGGAAGACCAGUGGCGAAGGCGGGUCUCUGGGCCGAUACUGACGCUGAGGAGCGAAAGCUAGGGGAGCAAACAGG